UACGUAGGGUGCAAGCGUUGUCCGGAAUUAUUGGGCGUAAAGAGCUCGUAGGCGGUUUGUCGCGUCUGCCUGUGGAAAUCCGGAGGCUCAACCUCCGGCCUGCAGUGGGUACGGGCAGACUAGAGUGCGGUAGGGGAGAUUGGAAUUCCUGGUGUAGCGGUGGAAUGCGCAGAUAUCAGGAGGAACACCGAUGGCGAAGGCAGAUCUCUGGGCCGUAACUGACGCUGAGGAGACGAAAGCAUGGGGAGCGAACAGG
rnacentral:rRNA from 1 species